rnacentral:lncRNA from 1 species
CGUUUAAUUAGAACCCUAAUAGAUCAGAUAAAAUUACAUGAAUAUGUUCAAAACAUUCUAAUACUCAUAACUUCAAUAGACAAAUAAUUUAGUAAAUAAUGGAAGAGAUGCCACUAGAACAAAUAUAUACAUACAUAGCAAUACAUGAAAAGGAAUUUGAAAAAGUACGGAUUGCCUUUUUAUCAUGUUUUAUUGUUUGAUUUUUAUUUGAAUUUGGACGUUUUAAUUUUCUUUUCUUGAUUUUACCUAUUAUUCCUAAGUCUAACCAGCAAAGGCCUUUGGUCACAAGCAAUCCUUGGCGUGAAAACUCUUUUUUGAUUGUUUUCAGGAUCGCCUUCUUUUCUCAUCUUUCAACUAUGCUAGAAAGUUAAUAGUGCCUAUAUAGAAAGUGAUGUUCUAUUUCUUAAAAUAUUAACCACCCCACUUCUCAAAAAGAAGAAAAGAGCAUAAAAUAAUUUUUCUCUUUAUUUGGUUUUAAUUCUUCAUUGUACAAAAUCCUAAGUUUUAGAAGCACAACAUCCUUAAAUGACUUUAUGCUCGUUACCCCUAUUGAGAGGUUGUGGUGCAAUUUUUUGUAGAUAUGGUACAAAAAUAAGUGAUUGCUAAGUUGUUGAACAAGAAAGAUAGUAAAAUAAACUUUGAAAGUGCAUAAUUAUCUAGGUUUGUUAAUUGAUUCUUGCUUAGGGAUUGUUUUUUAGCAACUUUUAACCUUUAAGCCCCCUCCCCCCCCCCCCCCCCCAACCCUCUUUUAUGGCAUGUUUGGUAAAAGUGAUUGUAUAACAAUGGACGGUACCCUUUUUUGGGGGAUGUUUGGCAUACUUAAUGAAGAUUUGGUUUGGUUAUGGUUUUGUGUUGGUUCUUGACAGUGUCAGCGUGAAUGGUUAAACUGAAUAUAUAUUAUUUAUUUAUUUGCAUGACUUUUCAUUUUUUUAUGAUGUAGUUUUAUUUAGAAGUCUAAACUGACUAACAAAUGGAACCAAAUUGAACCGAUUUAAUUUGGGUUUUCAAUUUAAGAGCUAGAGUGAAUUGAUUUGGAGUGAAAAUUUUCCAAACUAGCUAAUUUGGUUUUGAUGUCAAGUUGGGAUCAAAACCAAUCCAAAUCAAACCACACCCAAGCCUAAUAAUUUAUGAUAUUUUGCUUUGAUGGAUUGAGUUUUAAGAACAAGAACGAUAAAACUUCUAAUUUAACCUGAUUAAGCAGAUAAUAUAUGUUAAUAUAAUGUUCAAUCAGUUCAUCUUUGUUCUUAUUUCGUUCAUCUAGUUUAAAAGAGUUUAUAAUUUUAAGAAAUAUGCAGAUUUAUAAUGUUAAAGAUGUAUUUAAAGUGGGACAAAUAUAUAAAAUUCAUUUGAACACACAACAUAUAAAUUAAGAAAUUUAAUAAGAAAAAUAUUGAAAUAUAACAUGAAUAAAAAUAGUAUUUUUUUUAAAAAAAAAUUAUAAUUUAAUAGGGAUGAAAACAAAACUCUUUAUAAUAGUCCUUUUCAAUCACACAUUUCCCUUUUUCUCUCUUUUUUUUAUUUUAUUUUAAAUUAGUGACCAUCAAUCAGGGCUAAAAUGAAGUACGAGAUUGACUGCUUGGUGAAAAAUUAAACAGUAGUCUAGGAUAAUUGCUUACACCCCUUGUUUGAUAAUUUAACUAUUUAUCCCAUUAUCUAUUUUUGUUAAUUUUUUUUCCAAAUUACAAUAUGAAUUAACUUUCUCUGCCAAACAGUAGCUUAUUAUUAUUUUAUUUGCAAUAAAGUCUAUUUACUUUUAAAAUAACCAAAUUUUAAAAAAAAUCAAUCUGAUUAUUCAUAUUAAACUAAAAUCAAAAUUAACAUUUCAAAAUUCAUUUUGCCAGUUUUUUCUUGAAAAUUCAAUUAAAAUUAUAAAUACAAAACCGAAUAUUUGAUCUAAAAACUUAAAUUUGGAAUUGUGUACCAAUAAACUUUUGAAUUCAUUAGUAAAUAUGUCAUGUAUAUACAAUAAAAAAGUAGAUAAAUUAAAUUUGAAGAUAUUAAUUGGUUAAAAAUUGUAGGUCUAAACCAGGCCCCCAAAUCAUUAUAGAAUCAGAGGGAGCAGACAUGCCGACCUUAAUCUUCAUUCUCUGUGCACAUUACCAUGCUUCCUUCAUAAUUUCAAAUCCAGAGCAUCGGCUUAUUGUACACAGAUCCAUACUAAAACUCAAAAUUUCAGCCAAAAAUAAAUAAAAAAUCAUUAAUUUUAAUAUAGAAAGAAACGCCCUAAAAUACUUAUCUCAAUCUAAGAAAAAACCGAACAAGAAGAAGAAAAGAGAAGCCGGCAACAACAGUUGUAAACGAACGAGUAUGAUAGAGAGAACAGCUUGUUAAUUUAUAGGCAGAGGCGGACUCGAAUUGAGCUAGG